UGGGCACUCUGAGGAGACUGCCAGGGAUAACCUGGAGGAAGGCGGGGAUGACGUCAAAUCAUCAUGCCCCUUAUGAAUUGGGCUACACACGUGCUACAAUGGCGUAAACAAAGGGAAGCGAACCCGCGAGGGUGAGCAAAUCCCAAAAAUAACGUCCCAGUUCGGACUGUAGUCUGCAACCCGACUACACGAAGCUGGAAUCGCGUAGUAAUC
rnacentral:rRNA from 1 species